CCCUUAGAUGUUCUGGGCUGCACGCGCGCUACACUGUCGGAUUCAGCGAGUCAUAUCCUUAACCGAAAGGUUUGGGUAAUCUUUUGAAAGUCCGACGUGAUGGGGAUUGAUCAUUGCAAUUAUUGAUCAUGAACGAGGAAUUCCUAGUAAGCGCGAGUCAUCAGCUCGCGUUGAUUACGUCCCUGCCCUUUGUACACACCGCCCGUCGCUACUACCGAUUGAAUGGUUUAGUGAGAUCUUCGGAUUGGCGCCUACGCGGCUUCUCUGAGGCCACGCUGGAUGCCGAAAAGUUGCUCAAACCGUAUCAUUUAGAGGAAGUAAAAGUCGUAACA
rnacentral:rRNA from 1 species